rnacentral:piRNA from 1 species
UGCAAAGCCCCAGUGGAAGGAAGU